rnacentral:rRNA from 1 species
GUGCGCAAGUCAUUGGGACUAUUUAAGAAACCUAAAGGCGUAAUGAAAGUAAAUGUUUGUUGAAUUUUCGUAAUUCACAAAUUAAGGGAAGAUGGCUGACGGAAUUUAUGUUGGCUCGCAUUCCCGGGGCGUCGCGUACUCAUUGCGAGUUGCGGCGCACCAAGAGCGUACACGCUGGGACCC